rnacentral:tRNA from 1 species
AAGAAUAUUUAAAGGAAAGCUGCUAACUAAUCCUAAAGUAAAAUUACUAUAUUCUUA